GGGACUCAAAAAAUUCUAAAAAAAGUGAGCUACAUGAUUAUUUUCUCAAUAUAUACAACCAACUACAGAUUCCAUGUUGAAGAAUAGAUACACAUAACUAUUUUUGGCUAAAAGCCAAUACCAAGGAAUUAGAAGUAAUGGUGAAGGAUGCAUAAAUUCUGCCAACAAAAGUUACAAGCAAAACAUAACAAGUGAAUGAAAUAACUAAUUCAAGUUCAAAAGCAUAGAACGCAUAUAACAAAUCAACUAACGACGUAGCUAAAGACAAAUGGCAGGAGUAUUACAAAAGUUCUCUUCCAACAACAGUUCUCAACAGUUGAACUUAAAAAUGAUGUUUGAAGAUGGUUUUGAAAGGGCUAAAGCCACAUCCAAACAUGGCGUAAUCAUUCAAAGCCAGUUUGGAGGGUAUAAUAAAAAUUGUGUUUAAAAAGGUUAAAACCAAACCUCAAAAUGAUUAUAUGAAAAUCCAAAAUCACUUUCAUUAAAACCAGUAUUGAGGCAAUACCCACCCAAUUUCUCUAAAAUCCACUCGAGUGUGUCUUAGAAAGAAAAAAAAAUAAAAGACAAAACUUCCCAUUUAUCUGCUAGUCCCGACUCUCAUUCGCAAAACAACUGCGAGCACAGAAGAAUUGAAUUGUGAAUUGUUAAUCAGGAAAAUGAUACUUACUCCUGGAGACAUGAUUGGAACCUACUCUUGGAGACAUGAUUCACAAUCCAAAGCUUGUUUUUCAUAAGGCAGACGAGAUGGCUGAGAUGUUCAGGCAAAGAAUAGCUCAAGCAGAAGCAAUGGCUCGUGCAGGCGACCUUCCUGGAUUUCAGUCGGAGGUACUUAUUAGUUAUUUGUUUGUCUUGGAUUUUUCAGCUCCAAAAAAGAGGAUUGAAACUUUUUGAGCAUGAUUAGUUUAGUUCCAUCUCAAUGUUUGAGUGGUUAAUGCGAUUGACUCAGCUUUGAUGGGGUAUCGAUCUGAUUGGACCUACACGUGAGUUGUCUUAAGAGGUUGUAGAUCUCACAGCGAAGAGGUAUUAUAUAUUGCUUCUCUCAAAUUAUUAAUUCUAUAAUCAAUUUUAAGA